CCUACGGGUGGCUGCAGUGAGGAAUAUUGGUCAAUGGCCGGGAGGCUGAACCAGCCAAGUCGCGUGAGGGAAGACGGCCCUACGGGUUGUAAACCUCUUUUGUCAGGGGACAAAGUUCAGGUCGGGCCCUUCUUUGCGCGUACCUGAUGAAAAAGCAUCGGCUAACUCCGUGCCAGCAGCCGCGGUAAUACGGAGGGUGCGAGCGUUAUCCGGAUUUAUUGGGUUUAAGGGGUGCGCAGGCGGAGGCUAAAGUCAGCGGGAAAAUCUCGGGGCUCAACCCCGGUCCGCCGUUGAAACUGGGGCCCUGGAGUGCGCGAAGGGCAGGCGGAAUGCGUGGUGUAGCGGUGAAAUGCAUAGAUAUCACGCAGAACCCCGAUCGCGAAGGCAGCCUACCGGAGCGCAACUGACGCUCAUGCACGAAAGCGUGGGUAUCGAACAGGAUUAGAUACCCGUGUAGUC
rnacentral:rRNA from 1 species